CAGAAAGCAACAGCCAUGUUUCGGCUCCAAACUCAGCAAAAAUUCAGACUCGAUCAGGACUCAGAGGACUCGAUUGCGGACUCAGUACAACAUCAAACUCAGAGUAGACUCAGAUAAGUGUGACUUGAAAGUAGGGCAGAAAUUGUUAAAAACAAACUCAGAACAGCAGGACAGCAUCCAUCAAGAUUUACACGCAGAAAUCAACCAAAAAAACGCAACAGCAAAUUCGACUAUAACUUAGUAUCAAAACAAGAACAAAACUCAGUAUCGAAACCCAGCAACGACUAACAGCAAAACCCUGGAAACUCGAUGAAAUCGACCCACAUAAAUCAAACUUAAACUUAGCUAAUGUGUUAGAUAUAAUUGAUGAUUACUAAUGUUCUUAAAGUUUGUUUUAGAACAGGAAUGAUCAGAGUUUAAGCUGGAAGCUGAUCAGAGUUUAGUAAAGUCUGACCAGAGUUUGAUAAAGUCUGAUCAGAGUUUACAUAGUCAAGACUCGUCAGAGUUUACACGUGGAAAGAG
rnacentral:lncRNA from 1 species